rnacentral:rRNA from 1 species
UACGUAGGGUGCGAGCGUUAAUCGGAAUUACUGGGCGUAAAGUGUGCGCAGGCGGCGUCGCAAGUCGAGUGUGAAAGCCCCGGGCUUAACUUGGGAAUUGCGCUCGAAACUACGAUGCUGGAGUAUGGCAGAGGAAGGUGGAAUUCCACGUGUAGCGGUGAAAUGCGUAGAGAUGUGGAGGAACACCGAUGGCGAAGGCAGCCUUCUGGGCCAACACUGACGCUCAUGCACGAAAGCGUGGGGAGCAAACAGG